GUGCCAGCGAGCCGCGGUAAUACGGAGGGUGCAAGCGUUGUCCGGAAUCACUGGGCGUAAAGGGUGCGCAGGCGGGGCAGCAAGUCGGAGGUGAAAGCCCGGGGCUCAACCCCGGAAUCGCAUUGGAAACUGUCAGGCUUGAGUCCGAGAGGGGCCAGUGGAAUUCCUGGUGUAGGGGUGAAAUCCGUAGAGAUCAGGAGGAACACCGGCGGCGAAAGCGACUGGCUGGAUCGGGACUGACGCUGAGGCACGAAAGCGUGGGCAGCGAACAGGAUUAGAAACCCGUGUAGUCC
rnacentral:rRNA from 1 species